rnacentral:tRNA from 4 species
UGCAGGCGUGGCUCAACUGGAUAGAGUACCUGACUACGAAUCAGGCGGUUGUAGGUUCGAAUCCUACCGCUUGCAU